rnacentral:lncRNA from 1 species
UUUUUUUUUUUUUGUUCUUUUAAAUUGUUAUUGUUUUUUUCCCUUUAACCUUGUGUUCUACCAUUCAAUUCAAUGACUACACAUACUUUCCUAAAUUCUUAACACAAGUUUGAGAUGUGAACUCAAUAAAUAAAAAUUUAUUUUACAAUGCCCUACCUAUGACUAUAACAUUUAUUGUAGACAAAUUAAAAUGUUAUUAUUUUAUAUGAUCUACAAUAUAACUCUAUAUCAUGAGAUCCUGGAGCAUAUGAGUUUAACAUAUGGACGAUUGUCAUCAUAGAUCUAAAUAUAUGUUGAUAUAUGUUGUUCACCCAUCCACGCAUGCAUGGGUGUCAAGUAGUAGCAUUGUUCAUAAAAGUAUUAUAUAUUAUUUAUUAAGAUAAUGAAACUAGUUAAUCAUGUAUCAAAUAGACAUAAAUAAUACAACCUUUUCCUACACUAUAUUUAAACAACCACUUAUAUUUUUGUCUGACUUUACUUAAAUAAAUUUUAUUUUAAAAGUUAAUUACCAUUUUUUAAAAAUGCACAAAAGGUAAGUUUUUAGAUUUGAGUGUGUGUUUUAAAAAGGUCUCAUUCUUAUUUUUUGGUUGGCUUGCAUUUGACAGUAAUUCAAAAACUAGCUAGUUUAAUUAAUUUUUAUCAAUACCAAAUCUAUAUUUUUUCCCAAGAUUUAUCUUACGAUAACCAUCCCAUCUUGAAUUAUUAAUUUGUAGAUAUUAUUCUUAUUUAUUCACAAUUUUUAGUCCUUUUUCUGACAUUUUCAAAGAAAUGCUUUUUAAAUUCUUAAUUAAUAUAUCAGUUAAUUAUAACAACUGUCUCUUAUUUUCAUUUGUUUUCUCUUAAUAGAAUAUAAGUUUGGAGAUAUUCUCUAUCUACCUUCCUUUUGUAUUUUCUUUGGAAAUAAAAUAGUGCAUUGCUUUUGAUAUUGAAGUAUGCAUAUAUUUGUUAGGAAUAGGUCGACUGAGUUGAAAUAUGUUGAUGUGACUUACAUUUCCUCUACCUUUAAUAUAUUGUUUCAAAAAUAAAAUAAAUAAAAUAAAAUUACAUGAUACAUAUCUAACUAAGACAACUCGAGUCCUCUCAACUUUUAUGUGUAUAUAAAAUGUUGUUUGGUGUAAAAUUGAGUUAAGUUAGGUGGAUAAUAAUGGUGUGUAUUUGACCUACAUAGUUAGUUUAGUUGAUAACAAUUGUUUGUAUUCAACAUGUAAAAUUGAGUUCAAUUGAUUUUAAAAGUUUGUGUCUGCAGUACAAAAAGUUGGCUAUUUGAUACAUUCUUUCAAUCUGAAAAAACAUGUAUUUUUAUGAGAUUUUAUUGUUUUUUUCUUUCAACAUUUUAGUUAAAUUUUUAAGGGAGAAUACUUGAGAUGUGAACUCAAUAAAUAAAAAUUUAUAUUUUACAAUGUUCUAUCUACAACUAUUCCAUUAUGGUAGAGAAAAUAAAAUAUUAUUACUUAUAUAAUCUAUAACUCUACAUCAUGAUAAGUACGAAACAUAUGAGUUGAACGUUAAAAAAAAUAGAAUUGCCAUCAAAGAUCUAUUUACAUGUUCACACAGAUAUCCAUGUGCAUAUGAGCACACACACUAAUAUUGUUCAUAAAAAAUAUUGUUCAUUGAGAUAAUCAAACUAGUUAACCAUAUACUAAUUACACAUAAACCAUGCGCCUCUUUUCAUACUAUCAAUAAUGCUUUUGUUUAUUUGUUUUUAUUCGUGUUUGGACUUCUCUCUAGCUCUUUCUAUAUUUUUCUGCUUCUUGUAUCUAUUUUUAAUCAUUAAUGAAGUAGGAAUGAUAUAUGGUGCUAAAGAGGUGUUCCACCUACCAUAGAUGUUUAGGUGCACCUGUUGAUCCAAACCUAUUUUCUUUUUUUAAAAAACUUACAUUUGCAAACACCCAAUUAAUUAACUAAGUAAGACUAAUGAUUGAGAGAAGACUAAAUUUUAAAGGUUUGUCUUUCUGUACUACACCAGUUUUUUUUUUUGUUUUCUUUAUGUUAUUUAAUUUUUUUUUAAAAAGGUUAACUUUCAUAAAUAGUACUCGGAUAAAAUAUUUACAACCCGUAUCACAAAAUGAAGAAUUAAAGGCCACGAAAUUUACCAUUUUUUAAAAAAAUUUAAGGUUUGCUCUUUCAUAUCAUCUUUUUCUUCUAUUAUCUUCUACGAUUUUUUUUUCUUUUCCUCUUUUGCGAUAUUUUUUCUUUUCCUCUUUUGCGAUUUUUUCUUCCCAUCAUCUUUUUCUCUUCUUCAAUUUAUUAAAAAUAUUUUCAUUUGUUCUUCGCUUUCAUAUUCUUUUCUAUGCAAUUCUUCUUUUUCUUUCCAUUGUUUUUUCUCCUCUUUAAUUUUUUCUCUUUUCCUUCCCAUCAUCUUUUCUUUCUAUGAUAAAUUUUUAUAUUAUUUUCAAAUUGUUAUUUGCUUCAAGAUCUUGCUAUUUUUUUCAAACUGUUAUUUGAUUUUUUAAGAUCGUGUGCCAAAUAUAAAAGAUCGUGAAAAAAAAAUCGUGGAAAUUUGGCUACCAUAAUUUAAACUAUCAAUUCUAAACGAUUUUGUGUCAAAUGUAAACAAUCGCGUACCAAUUUUUUUUGUUGAAAAAAUUCAUUUAGAUUGGACUACGCAUAUUUAAACGAUUAAAGUAAAUGAUAGUGUGAGAAAUCUAAACGAUCACAUACCAAAAAAUCUUGAAAAAAAUUGUUUAGAUCUGGGUGUUUAGAUUUGAUUAUCCAAAUCUAAAUGAUCAUUUUCCAAAUAUAUUACGUCCAUUGGACGUCAAUUCAUCAAAGAGCAUUUUUGGUAUUUUCCAUUAUGGGCCUGUGGGUUUUUUUCGUUUUCGAAAUUGUUAUAUACAAUAUAAAUAUUUUAUUGCUUUGUUCAAUAUUUAAAAAGACAAAAAAAAAAAAAAAAAAAAACAAAGAAACAAAAAAACAAAAAACAAAAACAAAUUGUUCAUUUAAGAAAUUAUUAUAAACAAUACAAGCGUUAUAGGUACUGUUAAACUUCUAUUAAUAUCUAUCAGUGAUUUAGAUAGACAUGAAUAUAAGUCUCGAUCAGUAUUUAUCUAUAAUAUAUAAUUUUGCUAUAUAUCGUAAAUAUUUUGGUUCAUUUUGCUAUAUUUGAAAAUACGUCCGUUCUUUAACGAUAUAUAUAUAUAUAAAUUCUAACACAUUCUAAUAGAUCUAUUGGUGUGAGAUUUUUUUUACGAGUUACUGUUUUAGUAUGUUUUAGUAUGUUUAAAGGAGAAUAUUUUUUCUGAAACUUCGUGAGAUUUUAUGUUUAAUCAAAGUUUAAAAUAUCGAAGGAGCAUUUUUAAAAUUAGCAAAAUAAAUUAAAAUAUUUAGCAAAAUUUUGUAUUCUAUCAAUGACAGAAACGGAUAAACUUCUAUCACUGUAUUUCAAUGCCACUUAUAGAAACAUAUCAGUGUCUAUCACUGACUUUUUAGAUUUGAAGCAUUUUUCCAUCACGAUCAUGUGGAUAUGAUCUAAGCGAUCACUUACCAUAGUCUACACGAUCAUUUAGUAUGGUCAACACAAUCGUUAGAUUUGAAAUAUUUUUUCUAUCGUUAAAAAGAAUUACACUAUCGUGUUGAUAAUACCUACAUAAUUGUGUAUACCUAUAAGAUCGUAUAUCAUAUCCUUUAGAAGAAAAAUUACACCCGCGCUUGUGGCCGAUUAAUCGCGUGUUGACUUAAUCAUUUUUUUUUGUAUUUUCCAAUAUUGUAGGCUUGUGGGUUUUUUCUGUUUUCAAAAUUGUUCUAUAUAAUGUAAAUAAUUUGCCGGUUUGUUAUAUUUUUUAAAAAACCCUAAUUUUAACAAUUUUCGAAAGUUUAAGAAUAUUUUUUAAACUUUUGAAAGUUUAGGGAUAUUUUUGACAACGUAGGUAUUUUUUUUAUUUUUGUAAUUUAGCUUUUAUUUUUUAUAUACCUUUUAAAAUCAAUUUAUAGACUUUGACUCGGCGUUAUCAUUUCUUAAUUAACUCAAAUUGAUCCAAAUAAAAUAAAUUAUUAUUAUUUUAAUAGACUCAUAACCCAAGUUUCAUUUGUUAAUAGUUGAGUUUUACAUUGUCCAAUUAAUUAAAAGCAUAGGAAGGAGGGGUUUUAUUAGUAUUAUUAUUUUUUCUAUUUUCUAUUGUCCAAAUAUGUUUUUUGAAAGGAAGGGGUAGUUGGAAUAUGAAUAAAUGGGAGUAGUAUAAAUACCAAACUUUCAAAACAUAUAUAUUGUACUAAAAGCAUUCCAUAUAGCAAUAAGUUUAUCAAUAUUACAAGUAAGUAAACAAUAUCUAAAAUGGCUUCUGAUCUCGUGCCCGGCGGCUAUACUCCAGUUGAGAAUCCUCAAAGUUCACGCAUGAAAGAAUUAGCAGAAUGGGCAGUAGCAGAGCACAACAAAAAGCGGGGACACACUUGAUGUUCAUUGGUAUAUUGACUUGUGAGUCACAAAUUGUGGAUGGAGUCAAUUACCGCUUUACCUUGACGGCUAAGGAUGAAAAAGAUAAUUGUGAGAUUGAAAGCUAUAUGGCUGUUGUCUUUGAGCAACCAUGGGAGCAUAUCAAGGAGCUCGUUUACUUUCAGAAACUCUUAUUGGCUGAACAAUGAAUAUAUAACAAAAUUACUCCUACUUUUAAUUAACCUGCUUUAAUGCGUUAUCAUACGUAUGUGUGGCGUACUCCCUUUAUGGUCCAUCUAUAGAAGGGAUAGCAAAAUAAAAGCUCUCCUAGUUAAUUGCACUUCCAGAAGUGUAGGUGCAAUGUUGUUGGGUUAGUUAAGUUGGUAAUUGUUAUUGUUUGUAUCCAUGGUGGAGUGAAGAGUGAUGUUGAGUGUUGGUAAUAAUAAUUGUUUGUGUUUGGAGUGUAGAGUUGAGUUGGUUUGAUUUUAUAAGAAGUUUGUGUGUGGUGUAUGAAUAUUUGAUGCAUUUCUAACUUCUUGUGAUCUAAAAAUAAACAUGCACUUCUAUGGGUUUCUUAGUAAUUAUUUUAUAUUAUAUUAUUGCUAUUGCAUGCUAUUGUUUCCCCCCUUUAACUCUUUUAAUUUACCCUUAAACUAGAUUUUAUUCUACCAUAUUAAACUAGACACUCUCCUAAAUUUCUUAACACACACAUUAUGCGAUGGAAACUCAAUAAAUAAAAAUAUAUUUUGCAAUUAAUUUCUACAUGUAACUAUUGCAUUAUUAAUGUAGGUUAAAUAAUAUUAUAUACAUAAUUCGGAUCUGUUUGCACUACUAAUGCUUAGUUAUGCAAAGAAGAAGUCAAAUAUCAAAUAUCACUACUUUAUUCGGAUCUGUUUGUGCUACUAAUGCUGAGAUUAAAAUAGUUUUUCUUGAUCAUUUUGAAGAUAUAUACAGAGACAUAAAUAUUCCUCUUUGAUAAUUUGCUUUGGACUCCUAUCUUAACAAAAGAAUAGAUGGAUAUUUGCAAACAGUUUCAUGAAUCGAAAAUUUACAACGCUCUUCAAUCUUUCUUUAACAAUAAGAGUCCAGGUACUGAUGGUUUCAUUAUGAAAUUAUUUAAAGAAGCUUAGCUUGGAGAUUCCUCAAAGGUGAUAUUAUUGAUAUUUUCAGUGACUUACGCAAAAAUGGAAUCAUAAACAAGGUUGUGAAUGCUCUACAUACAUCACUCUUAUAGAAAAGAAGGAAAAAUGGUCCCUUGCAACUGAUUAUAGGCCUAUUAGCCUAACUACGUCUCUCUAUAAGAUAAUGCCCAAGAUUCUUGUCGAAAGACUUACAAUAUCUCUCCCAAAUACCAUUCCUGAAAACCACGUAGCAUUUGUUAAAGGAAGACAAAUAACAUAUGCUAUUUUGAUUGCGAAUGAAGCGAUUGGUUUCUGGAAAUCGAAAAAGGAAAAAGGGUUUUGUCAUUAAAUUUGAUAUUUUUUUAAGAAGAAGAUACGUUGGGUCAGUAUUAGGUGCAUCCCGACAUCUCUAUUAGGUCGACACUCCUUAGCACUCUCGUCAUUUCCGCUUCAGUCAUUAAAUUUGAUAUUGAAAAGGCAUUUGAUAAAAUUAACUGUAAGUUUAUUGAGUUCAUGUUGUUGAAAGGGGCUUUCCCCAUAGAUGGAGAACUUGGAUUUACUCAUGUAUCAACUCCGUACAAUAUCCUGUCAUUAUAAAUGGGAAGCCUAGAGGGAAGUUCCAACCAACCUGAGAUAUUAGAAAAGGAGAUCUGAUCUCUCAAUUUAUAUUUGUUCUUGCUAUGGAUUACCGCAGUAGGCUACUUAAGAUCUUGGAGACGAACAACAAAGUUAGAGGGGUUAGAUUUAAUGAAAAUUAGAAUUCACUCAUCUUUUAUUUGCCGAUGAUAUUCUCCUCUUCAUGGAAGACCAUGACGAUUUUGUAGAAAAUAUGAAAUAUGCGAUUCACCUCUUUGAACUUGCUUCUGGGCUUAACAUAAAUCUCAACAAAUCACCAGUUCUUAGAUUAAUGUGGACUCAAGCAGAUUGAAUAGGGUGGCAGAGAUAUGGGGAAUUACUGUGUAGUUUUUACCCAUCAAUUACUUGGGUGUUCCUUUGGGUGGCAAACCUCUGACAAAGCAUUUUUGGGCUAACAUCACAGAAAAAAUCUACAGAAAAACUAGUAAUCGGAAAUAUUCAUAUCUUUCCAAGGGAGACAAAAACACAUUGAUUAAUUUCACUCUUGUUAGUCAACCCACUUACCAACUUUCGGUAUUCAAGGCCCUUUAAUUUCCUCUAUAUGCAAAGAUAUUGACAAGAUUUGGAGGGAUUUUGUGUGAAGAAACUCCAAUGACAAACGUAAUAUUCAUCUCAUCAGAUGGUCAAUUAUCACAUCCCAAAAGAAAAAGGGGUCUUGGGAUAAGCCAUAUAAAGGACACAAACUUUUUGCUCUUCUUCGUAAAUGGCUAUGAAAAAAUUUAGAAAAAAACAACUCUUGACACCUUUUUUUUAGUAUUGCGAAUAUGAAAAAUAUGGGAAAGACUAUCAAAUGGUUAUCGACUAUGAUAAAGUAGCAAAUUUAAAAAAAGUAGUAACAUGAACUUUAUUAUCAUAAUUUUUUUUUUGAUAUUUUUGUAAAAGUCUCUUUAAAUUAUACCUUAUUCCAUCUUUAUCUAUCACAAAAGAAAAGAAUAUAUAUUUUAAAAGUCGGACAAUUGAAAUUGGCCACAUGACCAACUGUUCAUUUAAUUUAAAGGUAAUUGUAAUGGAUGAGCAUUUGAGGAAUAAUAAUUAAGGAUAUAACAACAUUUAAAAAAUUGCAAAUAUACCAAAACUAUCGCUGAUAGACUUGUAUCUAGACUCGUAUGAUCUAUCGCUGAUAAACCAAUUUUUACAACAUGGUCUAUCAGUGAUAGACUAUAUCAUUGAUAGAAUUUGACAAAUUUUACCAUAUUUGCAAAUUUUUAAAAAUGUUGCUAUAUAUUUAAUUAUUUUAAAUUUAAUUACUAAAUUUGCAACUACCCCUAUAUUUAAAAAGAAAUGAAUCCAAUACUCAAAUUAAAUUAAAACUUUUCUUAAAUGAAAGCAUAUGGUUUAUUAAACUUUUCCUAAAAUGAUAGUGCCUUUUAAGUUGGAUCCUAAUUAUUUUUUAUUGGAUCAAAUAAUUGCUAUAUUUUCAUGAAUUUUGAUGUCAUAUUAGAUGACCUAAAAUUUUAUCUUUUAGUAAGUUUAAUAUCUUCCGAUUUUUUCAAGGUAAGAUUUUCAAUAGAGUUCAUAUUAGCAAAAAAAAAAACUUUAAAAACAUGUGCGACCAAACUCAUACUAACGUGAAUUGGAUUGCAAAUAUGAUAAUUAAGUAAACAACAACUUAAAAAAUUUGCAAAUAUAAUAAAAUCUGUUUAAGUCUAUCAACUGACAAUGAUAGAAGUUUAUCAUUGAUAGACUAUUUGCAAAUACUGUUCUAUCAAAAACUAUAAAGAUUAUCAAAUACUAUACCUUAAUCCAAAAAUGUUAGAUGGAACUCGGGGGUUCACAAUGGGGCGUGGGCGAUCUCCAUUAUCCUACCAAAGCAUAUAAUGAGAAUUUCAUCAAGUGGUCUGUAGAAAUUUAACUUUCUAUAUUUUCACUCUUUUAUAUUUGAUAUUUUUAUAUCGUUUAGUUCGUAUUCAUACCUGAAAUAUAUUUUCAGAAUAAUCGUAAAGAUCAGAUUAAUGGUAAAGAGGAUCCUCGAGGAGUUAAAAUAAUUAACGAGUUUCAAAACUCAUGAAUUUUCAAAAGAAUGGGGUAAGAGGAUGUUACAAGGUAUUGGAUGCUCCAAUCCUUUAACUAAUAGGUUUGAUUUCUAGUUUGAAGAUCAUACUCACACAACCAUUGGAUAGUUGGAUAUUAGAUGUGUUGUCUAGAUGUAGUUUCGUGUAAUGAGCCACGAAUUUAGAAAUUUUGUUAAUGGAAGCGUUAAUAUAAUCUAGUAAAAGUAAUCUAAAAAAAAAUGUGAAGAGUGGAGAAGAACUUAAAUUUGGAUCUAAAAGAAAUUGAUAAACCAAUUUACAUAGUCAAGAUAACUAAUGAUAUAAGAUAUAAUGUGAGUUUGAUAUAUAUGUAAUGUAGAUAUAAAGUUGAGGGAGACGAGUCCUCUUGGCCUACUCUAAAUGUUUUAGUGUGUAUAAUCGACUAUAUUAUAUUAAAAAAAAAGAUAAACAUAGAGCGACAUGAUCGCUUUGGAGAUAGCUUCGAAUAAUCUAUUUACUUUGGAAUCAUGCUUCUACUAUUGAUAGCUUCGACAUGUUGGCCAACUUUGGCAACAAAUAAAGUCAUACAUUAUCAUUAAAAAAUAAUUGAUAACACAUGUAUGCAUAGUAUUAUAAUUAAACUAUGUUUACUCGUAGUAAAGUAAAUUAAAAUACUUACAAGCUAUAACAAAAUUUUGGAUUUUAUCAUCUUCUAUCACUAUAACUAUCAAUGAUAAAAUUUUCUAUAGGUUGUAAAUAUUUUGUAAAAUCCUUAUGACUUGAUAAUAUACGUAUUCAUAAACAAUUAAAUUGUCUAUACAACAGAGACUAUGCAAUUAUUAAUGCAACGGGAAUGAUGAUAGUGUUACGAAAGUGUCCACUUAGUGGAGAUGUCCUGCCUCCUAAUCCAUUUGGUAUGUUUUUAAAAAAUAAUAGCUAAACCAAUCAUAUAUGAGGUUAUUUUAUCAAACCUUAAAGAAUUAAAUUCUAACGUUUAAAGUCAAUAGGACUAAAAUUCCAAUACUAAAUUAUAGGAAUCAAUAUUUCGUCAUAAGACCAAAAUAUUACAUGAAUUAGCAUAUUAUGGAUAUUCGACCUUAUCAAAUUUCACAGUAGGAAAACACCUACACAUUUGUAUAUGAUACUUAAACCCUCCUUACAAUUGAGAACAUACCACCGACAAAUACAAAAUUUCUUCAUCAAAUCUUUACUCAGAAGAUCAUUUGUUGAUCUUCGAUUUGUACUUCAAGUAGUUUACUGAGGAGAAUCCAAAGUUAUGGCUAAUUUUGAUGACUCUAUAGUACUUGAGGGUGAGUCGAGUUCGGAUGUCUUCGGAAACUGGAAGCCAAUUUCAAGGACUGAUACACACGUGAAAAAGAUAGCAGAAUUUGGUGUGAAAGAGCAUGAACAAACCAUGAUCUUCAAUCAAGUGGAAGCUGGCCUGGUCGGUAACAGAAUGCUUAUGGAUAACGAGAAAUAUUAUAUCCUUGUUAUUCUCGCCCAAAACUCCCUCUCGGAAUGCAAAGGUUUUAUAGCAUCAUCGUAUUGGAAACUACUGCAUCCAAAAAGCUUAUAAACUUUGUUCCCCUUCCUAGUGGUGCAUGCAAUAACUAUAUAUUGACACUCUCUGUGUCAUUGAUAUCCGCUCUAAUAUAUGUUUUACAUGAACUUAAAAACUAUUACCAAUAGUUUGUGAGGUAAUAAAAGUACGUAAAAUUAUUAAACUCACAUGUAUGCUUGGUUGUGUGUUAACUAACUUUGUUUUAUUUUAUCUAGUUGACGACAUACGUACAUAUAUAUCACACAAGCAUAUACAUAAUACAUAUAUAUGCACGUUUGAUUUUCUUGUAAUGUGCUCUAAAUUCAAGUGAUUUGUGACAUUUAACUCCAAACAUUCACUAUACCUAAUUCUUUGUGAAUUAAAAAAUAUUAACAGUUUCUUCAAAUUUUUUAAAAAUAAUUCAUAGGAUCCGUCCAUCUCAACCAGAUUUACUCCUAUUUAACACCUUUGUUACGCCUCAAUAUCAAAGUCUUUGUUUUACGGAACUAUCAAUAAAAUGUAAAUUUUGGUAUAUAAAUAUAACAUUGGUCCCAUCUUUUUUCUUUCAAUCUAAGAAUGAAUCUCUUUGUAGAACUCGGGGAUUUUUUUUUUUCCAGAAUAAAUCCAUUUGAAUGUUUUCUUCAACAGAUCAAAAUUAAGAUACAUUGGCGGUUGACUGUAACCAACUAAAGAUACCAAGAUUGAUAUCACCGGUGUCUAAACAACUCCCCGUUCCCGGCUUCUCCUCCACUCCAUCUCCUCCCGCGGCUGCAACACUUCUCUCCUCUAAACCCUUGGCAAGUUGGCAACUACCUCCUCAUCUCCGGCGGCUUUCCGUCUUUUCACUGCCCACAACCCAUUUCAGAAUUCCUUCCACCACCAUCCUCUUUCUCUCCUCAUUUAACACCGAAAGUUUAAUAUUUCCUCCAUAUUUGAGAAAGUAAUCAAUAAGCUCAAAUCUGUUGGAAAACUUUGAGACAACUUAUGAAUACACAAGCAAAAAUUCAGCAGACGAAAAAACUUCACAAUUUUUUCAUAACAGAAUAAUCAAUUAAAAUACCUUAUUAAAGGCUUAAAAAAAUACUUACUAAAAAUAAUAACCACCUUGAUAAACCACCUACCCACAAACUUAACCUAUUAACAUAAAUAAUUAAAACAUUAAGUUAAGAUAAUUACGUUAUUUGAAUCAGUCUUCAAUACUCUCUCUUGAUUUAAAUUUGCUAAUACGCAUCAUAGCUAAAGUAACAGAAGUUUUGAGUUUUUGACUUCUUAGUGAAAUUCUUGAAUCGUCCGACCACCCUGUGGGAAUAUAUAGGUCCGACUAUCCUAACUAGGGAAGCGAGAAGAUGAAAGCAGAGAGAGAUUGUUCCAGCAUGGAUUCUUUGCCAACAGUUCCCUUGAGCUAGCCGCCUAAGAGCCCACGGAGCGGGGAGGACUGACUGGUUACAUAUGUUUUCCCAUAAUCCUGCAUUGCUGACAUGUUUAACGUUGAAAUUUUGGUUAUUUCUUUCCAACCAAAUUAUCCAAAAGGAGAGCAACCACAACCUUUGCAACUUACCACUCUCACCACACUUCGUACUUCAACUGCAAACCUUUGCAACUUCUUCCACAAAUUCAUCAUCCACAUCUUUAAUCGCUAUUCCUUUUCCUUCAUUUGAUGAAUUAAUAUUGUAAUUAUAUAUAUAUACACACUACUUUUAUUUAAGUCGCUGACUUAUUUUGCUUGUUAUUAUUAAGGAGUUUCUUAUUUAUAAUUCCGUGUGAGAGAUAUUAGUCGAAUUGAUAUAAUGGAAUCUUGUGUGUGAGACCUAGAUUUAGAGUUCAAAUGACGAUUUGCUGUUGAUACAUAUAUCAUUUCUAAUAAAAAAAAAUACUUUAAUAGAAUAGUUUAAAAAGAUACUUUUGAUUCAUUGUUGAAAUUUCUAGAGCACCUGCUGAUCCAAAUUGUAUUUUUUAAGGAGGACACUCUUGAUGUACUUCAUUUCUUAUUUUUUUAAUAAAGCGAAAAUGACGAGGGGAUUAAAAAGACAAUUGAAAAAGAAAAAAGACAAAAUGGGGGUGUUAGGAGGGCCAACACACAAAUUUUGUAACUUGUAUUGAAUACUGAUUCAAAUUAUGUGAUUAUCUAAAUUAAUGUUUUUUAAUUUAUUUUCUGUUAACAGGUUAAGUUAGUGGAUAGGUGGUAUGUCAAAGUGGUUUUAUUUUUAGUAAAUACCAGUUUUUUGUAAGGCUUUUAAUAAGGCAUUUCAAUUGAUCAUUGUGUUAUGAAAAUACAGAAGUUUAUGUUUUUUGGCUUCUGUAUUCAAGGCAAGGCUUAGGCCAAUGAAACCAUGUACAUAUGAUAAAAACGAAGAAAUUAGAAGGAAAAAAAAAUACACAUGUACAUAAUUAAAGAAAAACCUAGAAGCUUAAGGAAGGAAAAGAAAAAAUAAAAAAGGGAUAGAGGUUUGUUGCUGUUGGUUAUUUUCUUUCUUUGAAGGAAAGAGAAGGAAGAUAGUGGAGGGAGAUGAAAAUUUAGAGAAAAUGUCUUUUUUUUUCCUUUGGAUCUUUUAGUUUCACGUGAAGAGAGAUUAGGGUGUACUAAACAUCUCAACUAGUAUCAAAAGAUUUUUAUCAUAUGAAAAAAAAAGGAAGCUUUUGAGAGAGAGAGAAACGUGAAAAAGGAGGAGAAUCCUUAAAUCGAUGGAAAAUACCUAGAAGUUGUGCAUUAAUUUAUUCACUUUGGCCUUGUUUCAUUUUUGAAAUGAAUGAGGUCAAAGAUAUGCCUCGCUAUAUGUUGCUCUCCCUUAAUUCCUAAUGAAGCACUAAGACCGACAAACAAGUUACGAUUAUAUAACAAAUUAUAAUUUCUGAAAUGCACCAUGUAUACUUGACUGCAAAAUUUGAUAAAAAAGAAAAACUAGAAAGAGAGAUAAUAGGUAAGUAUCAUUGUUCUUAUUAUAUGGUUAUACCAUUUAUUUUCAUAUAGGCAAAAGACAAUAAUGCCUCUCACACACACACACAUAUAGAAGGAUUGUUUUCAUACUAUUCGGGGUAGUACCCGAGGGGAUCUCUAAAAUAUACGAGUUCAUAGCUUGAUGGUUUUGUAAUUUUAAUGGAAGUCACAUAUGUCCAGAUAUUUUUAUCCUUAUUUAUAGCUUCCACCACAAGAGUAUACGACAAUAUGCUACCAUUUAUAUCAUUAAUCACAAGCUCCAGGCCGUUUAUCACACGAUGGAAAAUCAAAGUGUCUGAUUUUUCUUCGUUGUGUAUGUCCACUGCAAUCCCUCCAAUUUGUUGCACGUCCUUUCGCUGAUCGAUGUUUGGAAUGGGUGAUCCCUUAAUUACGAAACUCAUACUGCAACAAUCUACUUUUGAUGGACAGAUAGUUUUAGAAGAUGAUAUAUUAUGUAGUAAAGUUUAUGUGUUUUGUUCGUGAAU